AUUCCUAUCUAUGAUUCUUUUGCGACUUGAUCUUGGGUCUUAGCUGAUUUUGCUUGGAGACUUCGAUCCGAAUCUUGAUGCUUGCGAGUUGUAGGUGCUUGUUUAAUCUCUGGGAUACUGAGUGAGACGCGACUGGCAGAGUUCGGGACCUUAAUCAAAUCUUGGAGCGAUCCGCCUUCCAUUUUCUCCGGUAUCUCGGGACAUCUUCUUUUUGUCUUUUUCUUCUUUAAUUCUGAGUUGAGACUUAUCUCGUGGGUCGUUUCGAUCCGUGUGGCUCGAGGUUAGACCUACAGGGAAAAAACAAACGAACGAAAUUUUCUGCCCCAGUUUCACUAGGAAAAAUUUUGUGAGUUAUUUGCCAGGAAGUUCAUAGAAUUGAUGAAGGAAUUUGGAAAAUUUCAGUUUCCAAAAUGCCAAUUCCGGGAUUGGACCCACGGUACGGCCACAAGAUAUGAGUGCUCAGUUUAGGGUUGGAGCCCUAAGGCUGGCGGGAUGGAAAUAGUUCAGUUUAUGGUUGGAGCCCUAGUGCCGACUAGCUGGGGAGAAGUUCAGUUUAGAGUUGAAACACUAAUGCUGAUCAACUGGGGAAAAGCUCAACUUAGGGUCGGGGCCCUAAUGCUGACUAAAGGAAAAGAGUUUAGUUUAGGGUUUAAAACCCUAACGCUGAUUGAAUGGAAAAGUUCAGUUUAGGGUUUAAAACCUAAUGCUGAUUAAAGGAAAAAGUUCAGUUUAGGGUUUAAAACCCUAAUGCUAAUUAAAGGAAAAAGUUCAGUUUAGGGUUUAAAACCCUAAUGCUGAUUAAAGGAAAAAGUUCAGUUUAGGGUUUAAAACCCUAAUGCUAACUGAAUGGAAAAAGUUUAGUUUAGGGUUUAAAACCCUAAUGCUGAUUAAAGGAAAAGUUCAGUUUAGGGUUUAAAACCCUAAUGUUGACUAAAGGAAA
rnacentral:lncRNA from 1 species